GUGAAUCAUCGAAUCUUUGAACGCAUAUUGCACUCUCUGGUCCUCUAGAGAGUAUGCCUGUUUGAGUAUCAUUAACACCCUCGUCUCCCCACCAGGGCGCAUUUCGCGUCUAGAUGGGAAGCGGUCGUGAGCACUCUGGCUCGGGCUAGUAGAGUUGUGGUUGGCUUUAAAGCAGUUAGCUUUGGCCGCUGUAGCUCUGCGCUAGCCCUGCCGGUUGCUUUAAAUGAAGCGCGUGCUGUGCUUUGCCACAUCCGACUGGCGUACUAGUUCUCUUUCGAGAUUUCAUUACGCCAACAACAG
rnacentral:misc_RNA from 1 species